GACGUAGGGCGCGAGCGUUGUCCGGAUUUAUUGGGCGUAAAGAGCUCGUAGGCGGCUUGUCGCGUCGACUGUGAAAUCCCGAGGCUCAACCUCGGGUCUGCAGUCGAUACGGGCGGACUGGAGUUCGGCAGGGGAGACUGGAAUUCCUGGUGUAGCGGUGAAAUGCGCAGAUAUCAGGAGGAACACCGAUGGCGAAGGCAGGUCUCUGGGCCAUAACUGACGCUGAGAAGCGAAAGCAUGGGGAGCGAACAGG
rnacentral:rRNA from 1 species